rnacentral:rRNA from 1 species
GAUGAACGCUGGCGGCGUGCCUAAUACAUGCAAGUCGAGCGAACAGAUAAGGAGCUUGCUCCUUUGACGUUAGCGGCGGACGGGUGAGUAACACGUGGGUAACCUACCUAUAAGACUGGGAUAACUUCGGGAAACCGGAGCUAAUACCGGAUAACAUUUUGAACCGCAUGGUUCUAAAGUGAAAGACGGUUUUGCUAUCACUUAUAGAUGGACCCGCGCCGCAUUAGCUAGUUGGUAAGGUAACGGCUUACCAAGGCGACGAUACGUAGCCGACCUGAGAGGGUGAUCGGCCACACUGGAACUGAGACACGGUCCAGACUCCUACGGGAGGCAGCAGUAGGGAAUCUUCCGCAAUGGGCGAAAGCCUGACGGAGCAACGCCGCGUGAGUGAUGAAGGUCUUCGGCUCGUAAAACUCUGUUAUUAGGGAAGAACAAAUGUGUAAGUAACUGUGCACGUCUUGACGGUACCUAAUCAGAAAGCCACGGCUAACUACGUG